CACAACAUCGCCGGCUUGUUCUUGGUCAACAAAGCACAUCUGUAAUAUUGUAUUACACGUAGAGAUACAGGCAAGAUACAACAUUACGUUGUAGAUUGACAAAAAUCCGUCGUAUUCUCGUGUUCCGUUGGCCAUAGAAGGCACACUUUGAAGCUGUGAAAAUGCAAAUACUCGAAAAUGUUGGCGAGCCUAUCCUUAUAGAGGAGACUGCCGACGCAGCAACGUGGAAGUGGACGAUAAAAGACAUUAAAAGAUACUUCAACAUCGGGCGUGAAUCGUUCCUGUCGCACGAGUUUUCCAUUCAUCAACCUAGAGAUCGUCUUACUCGUUGGAAAUUGAAAUUAUAUCCGAAUGGUCAAGAGCCUUUCCCGGAAGGUCAAUCGAUAACGAUUAAUCUCGUGAAUUUGGACGGAUACGAGUUUCGAGUUGGCUACAGCUUCGGAAUCUUGGGGGCUCGAAACGAGAAGCUCGUUGAACUUACUACCAUGCUAAUGUCCUUUCAUCCAGCACGAAAUAUAACACAAGCAGUUCAGUUGGUGCAACAAGACAAGGUGCGGCAAGACAAUAGUCCGUUCGUUGUAGAUGGUUCGCUCAACGUUUACUGUCAAAUUUUUUUCGAGUCUUAUAGUGAUGACAUAUUGAAUUUAAGAGAUAUUCUGGGGUUUUGAUCGUUUCGAUAUUUUAUGACGUAGAAAAGAAUGAACGAGACUGAUUUAAAGACGUUUCGAUUUUUGAUCAUUCAUCAAUUUUUGAAUUUUAUACAAUGUACGACGCAGAACUUGUAAGAUUUUUAAUGUGUAAUUAUAUCUGUCUUAUAUUUCGUCUUUCUUUUUUGAAUUUAUACGUUCUAGUGCUAUAAAAAACUUUCAGAUUAUUUUCGAUUGUAUAAAUGUAUUGAUUAUGAUAUAUUUUGUACGAUUACGCGACUGAUAUAUCAGUCUAACAGUUAUUUGUAAAUGAUGAUAUAUUAACAAUAUUAAUAUUGUAUCAAUAAAAUUAAAGCAAUUUCGCAAUA